GGAAAAAGGAAAGAAGCAAUCCCUGGGAGUCUCGGACCCUGUCGCACCACAGUGCCCCGUAGGUGAAGCCAACGUGCAGAUGUAGAGUGAAUGAGGCCAGAGUGGGACCUCUGAGGUUGUCCUAGCUCUACCUGGGGAUGGGGGAGAUGCUGACCACAAUGUGGGAAGCUGACCCAGAUCCAGUCCUGGAUGUGAAGCCAGGAUCCUGGGGAAAUUCUCCUCAAUCACCUGGCCUUCUGUCGGCCUGACUUUUGGAAUCCAUGAACUAACUCUUCAUUCAGAGAGCAUGUACAUGUUAGCUGUCAAACAGCGCAUGCAGCCCCUGACAGCCCUAAUAUCACUGUUUGUAUUAUCAGACAAUUACCAGCCGAGCUCGUAUUCAUAAUUUGACUAACAACUCGCGACAAUGAUUAUUUUUCCUUUCCUGGCAAAACAAAUAUAGCAGCAUUUUCUUUUCAGCAUCAGCGCUGAUGCUCCUUGGCAUUCUAUCAGCUGAAGGAUUUUUUUUUCGGAAAAAAAAAAAUGUUAGUCGUACUCCCCCACAUCUCGCUAACUUUACAGUCCCCCAUGGCAUCUGUGUGCAGUGAACUGAGCUGUUGAGACUAAAUGUAAUUUGCAAUCAAGCUUCUGUUAACAUGGAAAUGUACCGGCUGGUCUGCUGCAAUAUGGGUU